rnacentral:SRP_RNA from 13 species
GCAAUCUGGGUGGGUAGUGGUGCCUGGAAGCCAGCGAUAGGCUUCAGGGUGGGGGCAAACUCCCUCCAAGGACAGCUGCUCUUGGGCCUGGU